AGGUGAUUAGCUCAGUAGGUAGAGCACCUCCCUUACAAGGAGGGGGUCGACGGUUCAAAUCCGCCAUCACCUA
rfam:Glossina palpalis gambiensis isolate 146720 unplaced genomic scaffold Scaffold733, whole genome shotgun sequence.